rnacentral:tRNA from 1 species
AUUCUCUUAGUAUAACUAAUAUAACUGACUUCCAAUCAGUAGAUUCUGAGAUAAACGGAAGAGAAUA